rnacentral:rRNA from 1 species
UAAACUCAAAGGAAUUGACGGGGGCCCGCACAAGCGGCGGAGCAUGUUGCUUAAUUCGACGCAACGCGAAGAACCUUACCAAGGUUCGACAUACACCGGAAAGCUCUGGAGACAGAGCCCUCCUUUGGACUGGUGUACAGGUGGUGCAUGGCUGUCGUCAGCUCGUGUCGUGAGAUGUUGGGUUAAGUCCCGCAACGAGCGCAACCCUUGUUCCAUGUUGCCAGCACGCCCUUUGGGGUGGUGGGGACUCAUGGGAGACUGCCGGGGUCAACUCGGAGGAAG